rnacentral:rRNA from 1 species
UACGUAGGGGGCAAGCGUUGUCCGGAAUUAUUGGGCGUAAAGAGCGUGUAGGCGGUCCGAUAAGUCGGCUGUGAAAGCCCAGGGCUCAACUCUGGAAUGCCGGCCGAUACUGUCGGACUAGAGUCCGGAAGAGGUGAGUGGAAUUCCCGGUGUAGCGGUGAAAUGCGCAGAUAUCGGGAGGAACACCAAUGGCGAAGGCAGCUCACUGGGACGGCACUGACGCUGAGACGCGAAAGCGUGGGGAGCAAACAGG